rnacentral:rRNA from 1 species
UAUUGCACAAUGGGGGGAACCCUGAUGCAGCGACGCCGCGUGGGCGAUGGAGUGCUUCGGCAUGUAAAGCCCUAUCAGCAGGGAAGAAAGAAAUGACGGUACCUGAGUAAGAAGCCCCGGCUAACUACGUGCCAGCAGCCGCGGUAAUACGGAGGGGGCAAGCGUUAUCCGGAAUUACUGGGUGUAAAGGGAGCGUAGACGGUGAUGUAAGUCUGGAGUGAAAGGCGGGGGCCCAACCCCCGGACUGCUCUGGAAACUAUGUGACUGGAGUGCAGGAGAGGUGAGCGGAAUUCCUAGUGUAGCGGUGAAAUGCGUAGAUAUUAGGAGGAACACCAGUGGCGAAGGCGGCUCACUGGACUGUAACUGACGUUGAGGCUCGAAAGCGUGGGGAGCAAACAGG